CAUGCAAGUCGAACGGAAACGAUGGGAGCUUGCUCCCAGGCGUCGAGUGGCGGACGGGUGAGUAAUACUUAGGAAUCUACCCAGUAGCGGGGGACAACUCGAGGAAACUCGAGCUAAUACCGCAUACGCCCUACGGGGGAAAGCAGGGGAUCUUCGGACCUUGCACUAUUGGAUGAGCCUAAGUCGGAUUAGCUUGUUGGUGAGGUAAAGGCUCACCAAGGCGACGAUCCGUAGCUGGUCUGAGAGGACGAUCAGCCACACUGGGACUGAGACACGGCCCAGACUCCUACGGGAGGCAGCAGUGGGGAAUAUUGGACAAUGGGGGCAACCCUGAUCCAGCAAUGCCGCGUGUGUGAAGAAGGCCUGCGGGUUGUAAAGCACUUUCAGUAGAGAAGAAAAGCCCACGGCUAAUACCCGUGAGUCUUGACGUUACCUACAGAAGAAGCUCCGGCUAACUCCGUGCCAGCAGCCGCGGUAAUACGGAGGGAGCGAGCGUUAAUCGGAAUUACUGGGCGUAAAGCGCGCGUAGGCGGCUUUGUAAGUCGGAUGUGAAAGCCCUGGGCUCAACCUGGGAAUGGCAUUCGAUACUGCAGAGCUAGAGUAUGGUAGAGGGAAGUG
rnacentral:rRNA from 1 species